UUACAAAGUUGUGCAUAAAGUCAAUACUAGCAAGACAUGUGUGAUCAUUUGCUUGUCCAACCUUUUCCAGUGCUGUCAAAAGCUUUCCCGACUCGGAUAACGAAAGAGCGUUAAACAUUGCCCCCAAAGUAGAGUGUGCGAGGCAAUACUUAGAGUUUGAUAAAACAAUUUGAUUAAAUAAAUUGGAUUCCUCUUGUGCUACUAUUGAAUACUGCUGUAGCGUAUCUUCAAGCAUAAGAAAAUUUUUCCCAACAUCGUCAUAAUUGUCACGAGGUACAAGGGUUUUAGAGGGAAUAGGCAGCUCCUUGUAUAACUCAGCAUUCUCUUUAGAAGAAGGAUCAGCUGGUGGGGCUUUCAAUAAAUCCUUUGGGAGACAACUAAUAGGAGGACUAUGCAAUACUUCCUUCCAAGAUACAUGUCGACUAAGAAAUUUUCGAAAAACUUCUGAAAGGCCCAGAAUAGGGUGUUGUGCUACCCUUCUCAAAAAUAAUUGUAAUAAUCUCUUUCUUUCUUCGAGCAUACGAGACAUUCGUUGGUUUUUGGUGACGUUUAUCAAGUAAUCCAUGAUUUUAUGUUUAUCAGGUAAUGGAGGAACCAAGCAAGUAGGAUACAGGCGGCUAAGUUGUACGCGCAAAGAAGCAAAUUCUGAAUAUCGAUGGUGUAUUUCUGAGUCCUAAAAACCGUUAGUAAUCAAACAUUUCAAUACUUCCAAACAAAAGAGAAGAAUGAAGCAAGGAUUCUACAAUGAAUAGUUCGACUUAAUACAUUAUCAACCAAUUUCCUUAACUUACUUGAAGUUUGAUUAUAUAUACUAUGUGUGAUCCACUCUCAGCCUUCAUAGCUCCAGUAAUUACAAUUCCGUUUGGAUCGAGGGCUGAAUCAACAACACUAUCUACGUCCUUUUGAAAAAACAUGUUUCUACUUUGAAAACUCUCAUUCGGUUGGCUAAUCGCAUUCUCUUUGACAGAUGAAGAGCCCUGGUGCUGUGAUGGCUCAACUUUUGGCUCUACAUUGACAGCAGAAGAGGCGCUUCUGUUGUCAGAGCCAGAGAAUGGAUUAUUAUCUUCAAAAAAAUCCAUUCAAUUGUUUCUCACAACGUCCAAUUUCAAUUGCAAUGCUGAAUA